rnacentral:rRNA from 1 species
GACGAACGCUGGCGGCGUGCUUAACACAUGCAAGUCGAACGGAAAGGCCCUGCUUUUGUGGGGUGCUCGAGUGGCGAACGGGUGAGUAACACGUGAGUAACCUGCCCUUGACUUUGGGAUAACUUCAGGAAACUGGGGCUAAUACCGGAUAGGAGCUCCUGCUGCAUGGUGGGGGUUGGAAAGUUUCGGCGGUUGGGGAUGGACUAGCGGCUUAUCAGCUUGUGGGUGGGGUAGUGGCUUACCAAGGCUUUGACGGGUAGCCGGCCUGAGAGGGUGACCGGCCAAAUUGGGACUGAGAUACGGCACAGACUCCUACGGGAGGCAGAAGUGGGGAAUAUUGCACAAUGGGCGGAAGCCUGAUGCAGCAACGCCGCGUGCGGGAUGACGGCCUUCGGGUUGUAAACCGCUUUCGCCUGUGACGAAGCGUGAGUGACGGUAAUGGGUAAAGAAGCACCGGCUAACUACGUG